UCAGUCUUCUUUAUCAGCCUCAGCUAUGGCGGAUUCCGAGAAAUCUCGUUCCAGUUGGAUUAAGCAACUCAACGCAUCUCUAGACGAAAUCGAUCCCGAAGUCGCUGAUAUUAUCGAAUUAGAGAAGGCUAGGCAGUGGAAGGGAUUUGAACUAAUACCAUCUGAGAACUUCACUUCUCUUUCGGUGAUGCAAGCGGUUGGUUCUGUUAUGACUAA